GAGGAAUAUUGGUCAAUGGGCGGGAGCCUGAACCAGCCAAGUCGCGUGAAGGAAGAAGGAUCUAUGGUUCGUAAACUUCUUUUGCAGGGGAAUAAAGUGCAGGACGUGUCCUGUUUUGUAUGUACCCUGAGAAUAAGGAUCGGCUAACUCCGUGCCAGCAGCCGCGGUAAUACGGAGGAUCCGAGCGUUAUCCGGAUUUAUUGGGUUUAAAGGGUGCGUAUGUGGUUUGAUAAGUCAGCGGUGAAAGUUUGCAGCUUAACUGUAAAAUGGCCUUCGAUACUGGCUUCCUUGAGUGUAGAUGAAGUAGGCGGAAUUUGUAGUGUAGCGGUGAAAUGCUUAGAUAUCACGAGGAACUCCGAUUGCGCAGGCAGCUUACUAGACUACAACUGACGCUCAUGCACGGAGGCGUGGGGAUCAAACA
rnacentral:rRNA from 1 species